UUAGAUGCUGAGCCAACUGAGCCACCCAGGUUUAAAUCAAUUUAAAACAAAACAAGGGUGCCUGGCUUGCUCAGUUGGAAGAACAUGCAACACUUGAUCUUGGGGUCAUGAGUUCAAGCCCCACAUUGGGUGUAGAGAUUACUUAAAUAAAAAAAUAAAACAAAAUGAGACAAGAGAGAAUAUACAGACCCAAUAGGAAGAACAAUUCCAUCAUUCUGUCUGCUGCUCGUACUGGACAGCAUUGUGACCCACACCCUCACUAUUCCAUUGCUGACAUCACUCAGGUAUGAAAGGCAAUUUCUAAAAUCCACCCCCCUGCAUAAAGAAGUCUCCCUCAACCACCAGAGUCUCAGAGACCUUUCUCCAGUUGAUGACAGAAGAGGGAGUCAGAGCAACCUGAAGCAUGAGAAGGACUCACUGCUAGGAGCAUGGAAGGAGCCACUUAGGGUGGAACGCAGAUGGGAAGACCAGCCACCUACUGAUGCCAGUAAGGAAAUGGGGACCUCUCUACUACAACUGCAAAGAACUGAAUUUUGCCAAUAACAGGAAUGAUGAGGAUUCCUGUUCUCAUCUUGGCAUCCAGGUUUUGGGAGGCUGUGAUUGGAAUCACAGUAUGACCUAAUAUAUCUAGAUUGACAAGAAGGACUUUCUGCUUCAGCUCACGAAGGAACAGCUUCUGUGAGAUGUGACCUCCUGCCAGAAACAGGGAGAAAAUUGUAAAAAUAUAUAACUCUUUCCAGACAUUGAACAAUCGGCAGAAGAGAAUUGUAAAUCCUGAGAGAAGGGGAGCCAAUUGCCUUUGAAGAAUGCUUGCAUAAAGAAAACGUCCAUAAUACACUGCUAUUGAAGAUUUAUGGCUGACUGGCCUAACUUCUCCUGGAGGACACCAAAUCUGUGAAGUUCCAAGCUUUGGGCAAUAUGAAAUAAAAAGGGAUUAAACACA